rnacentral:rRNA from 1 species
GGACCUACCAUCAAGCAAGACCGACCGCUGACUGAGUUCAUAUCUAUCACUGGACGAAAGAAAACUAACUAAGAUUUAUCUCCCUACUGCCAGCGA